UGGGGAAUAUUGCACAAUGGGGGAAACCCUGAUGCAGCGACGCCGCGUGAGCGAAGAAGGCCUUCGGGUCGUAAAGCUCUUUUAUAUGGGAAGAUAAUGACGGUACCAUAAGAAAAAGCCCCGGCUAACUACGUGCCAGCAGCCGCGGUAAUACGUAGGGGGCAAGCGUUGUCCGGAAUCACUGGGCGUAAAGGGUUCGCAGGCGGAAAUGCAAGUCAGUUGUGAAAGGCAGAGGCUCAACCUCUGUAAGCAAUUGAAACUGUAUUUCUUGAGAUGUGGAGAGGCAAGUGGAAUUCCUAGUGUAGCGGUGAAAGGCGUAGAUAUUAGGAAGAAUACCGGUGGCGAAGGCGACUUGCUGGACACAAACUGACGCUGAGGAACGAAAGCGUGGGUAGCAAACAGG
rnacentral:rRNA from 1 species